UGCAGAUUAGAGGCUGCCCUGGGCUGUGCCCCCCUGCUGUGCAGGUUGACAACUGCCCCAAGGAAAAGCCCUGUACUAGGGGUUGGGGCUGUGAGCUUGUGCUGCGAUCUGUGCUCUCACUUCCAGGUUGGGGCUUUGCUGUGUCUGCCUCCAGGUCUCCCCCUGUCCCUGCUGAUCUUCUUCCCGGCCCUGAGGACAAACCUUUUUUGGCAAGAUUCCAAAUUAUCUUCGGCUGCUAGAGUUGAUGCACUGAGGUCCCGAGCAUGUGAGGCUAAAUAAAAAUUGGACAAUACUCUACUAAUAUAUGCUUGGAGAAAGAAUGGCCCCACCCACUCUCUGUGCAAGUUUUGAUGUGUUGUAUAGGAAAUGAUGUAGAGAUGAUUUGGUGCGUGGAGCAAGAGAGACAGAGGCACUGCUGGCCAGGUUCGUGUUGCGACUGCUCUCACUUCGUAUUGCCAUUUCCCCUUCACCUCCGCAAAGAAUAAAGAUCAAGGAUUUUCCUUUAACCUGAAUUUCUGACUCCGGCUGAUUUUAAAAUAUGCAGUCAUCACAUUUGGCACUCAUUGUGGAACCAAGGACCCUAUUUUCACUGAAGAAGUCUCCAGUGACCAGGAAAUUAGAUGAUCCACAAUACCCUCAGAUAUCAUCAUGCCUCCCCUGCCUGGCUCUUGGAUUCUUCAUACAAAUACAGCAUCUUAAUAUAUAAUGCUACGCUCUGACCUCUACUUAUCUUUUCUUUUGAAUAAAGUAUAUUG